rnacentral:lncRNA from 1 species
GUGAGGAGAGGAGGGGAGGCCGGCCAGACUCCUCUGCAGCUCUCAGGCCUCCCGCACAAGCUCAGCCUGCCUGGCACACACGUGGAGAUUCUCCCCUCCCUGUGUGGCGCUAAGGCACCUUGGUGAGCUCCUCAUGGUCCACAUGGGCUGCGAGUGUGUGGGAUGGCCUGGGGCGACUGGAGAAGUCUGUUCACCUGGCCCUUUGGGAGCCAAGUGGAGGAGGCUCCAGAUCAGCCCCAGAAACCCUGUUCGCUGUUCUCAGUGAGGGCGUCUGCCACGAGACUGGGGCCAGAGGGGCCAUGUAGGGAUGAGGAGUGGCGGUGACUGGGAGGUGAGGAUGGCCAGAAAGUGCUAGUCUCCCAUCAUCCCUCUGUCUUGGUGAACUCCGCUGUAUCUUAGAAUCCUGCUUGACCCGGCUCUUCAGGAAGCUGCCCUGGCAGGCCGGGCUGAGCCUGAAGAUGCCUGGCCUGGCUCUGUGGCCUCUGUGAGCCCCGGCCCCUCCUGGCCUCAGUUCUAGCUGGAGGAAACAGGACUCCCUCCUCAUCCUGGGAAGGCGGUCUCUUCCUCUCAGCGGGACUUUGAAGAGGCCGUGAAGAACCCACAGGGCCCUGCAGCAGUGGAACCAGACACCCAGAUUCACCACCCUGGAGUCGUUCCCAGCCUAGCACAGAGCCUGGGAAACAGAUGGAGAAAGCGUAGGGUGGGAGGGCCCAACAUCCUGGGCGGCUGGGGAAAUGACAGCAGCCGGGAUCCCAGCACUUAGCAUGGGUCAGUUAACAAUGCAUCCGGCCCCACCCAGCCUGUGAGGAGCCCCUUCUGUUCCUCACGCUCACACACCUGAAACUGACUCUCUGCUGGGCUCACUUGUCCACACUGCUGCUACUACCACCGCCACAGGGCCAGGAUUAGACCCCAGACAACCUGGACCGGAAGUCCACACUCCCAUCCACGGAACUACAAAACAAAAUGAAAACCAUCUCUCCCUCUGGCAGGGAUGACGGAUAAUAGGUUUGAUGCCAUCAAGUGCUGCUGAGGUCACCUCACCACCACCACCACCACGGGGAGCCCACGUCUGAUUACCUAGGGAGCCCCAAGAGUUCGGGUCAGAGUGGAGCGAACAGCUCUUUCAUCUCAUCUGCGUUUAGGUUGCCAUGCAGGAAAGAGUCGUGCAUUGCUUUGGUUUGUAACUCAUUUAAAAGGAGAAUGGGGGCAGUGAUACAGGGACAGCAUGUGCGAGGCCCGAGUUGCAUCCUUAGCCCAUCCCCCAAACAGAUGGGGGAGUAUGUUGGGGAAAGGGAAUCAAAGAUGGACAGAAUGGAAGGCUCUCAGACAGUUGUCCCUGACCGUGACCUCCUGCAGGCUUUGUCUGGGCGAGGCCUGUUCUUUUAUUGGGCACAUAUGUAUUUUCUGGGGGCCCCUAGGUCCUCGGCUCUGUGCCGGGCUGUGUGCUCUCCCCAGGCACACCCAGGGUGUGUCCCGACAGAGGGGCUCCCCUUCUGUCCCUGUCUGGGCGCUCUGUGGUAACAAGGUCAGGGCUGCAGGGAGGAGCCAGUUCUGGCCAGAGCUCUGAUCUGUGACGGGCUGUUCCCCGGAGCAGCUGCUACAACAACAUUUACUUUGUACAGUGGCCAAGAGAGAGAGCAAGAAAAGGAAGAGAGAGAGAGAGAGAGAGAGAGAGAGAGAGAGAGAGAGAGACAGAGGGAGAGAGCACACAAGCCUACUCUAUUGCAAAAUGUUUCUGACAAAAUCUGGCACUCCUGGUUCUAAUCAAAAUACUGAACUUUGGAACAAAUUAACAUUCCACAGCCCUCACUGGGAAGGAGAAUUCAGCCGAGACGACUUCAGUUCACAACAACAAAAAUAGCUUCUCCCGGGGAAGACACAUUCUGCUAACAAGGUCACUUGUGUUUUGCUUCCCCUGCCAUCUGGCUGAGCGGCAACCAGGGGCUGGCACUGGUACCAGCGUCUUGUGUGGAGAGGGGCUGGGAACCGGGUGGUGCCGCUGAAGGCUUCUCAGCCUCCUGGCAAAGGGUGUAGGCGUGGAGUUACCUUCAGACAGUCCCAGAACUGGGGCAGAUGGAGCCCAGUCUCACCCAGCCGGGCUCAGCUUCGAGCUCCGAGCAGCAGGAGGUGUGACACCAGCACACAGCAACAAGCAGGCACACCAGUCAUAUUGGAUUAAAGGCCCAAGACUCCAUUCUGACCUCAUCUUGGCUAAUUGCAUCUCCAUGACCCUAUUUCCAAAUAAGGUCACAAUCUCAGGUACUGUGAAUUGGGACUUCAGCAUCUUUUUGCAGGGUUGGUGAGGGACAUACAAUUCAAUCCACAGGCAACAAAGGAAGCCUUAGCUCUUUCUUUGUCUGAAUUUUUUCCCUCUCAUUUUGUUCUCUUAAAGAAUCAUGGCAGGGCCCAGUUCAAAGUUCACCUUCUUGGUUAUUUUUCCUGAAUAACCCAGGAGAAAUGAGUCACUUCUUUGCCUAUCUUUAUAGCCUUUUUGCAUUUCUAUUAAAGAAUCUAUCACAUUGUGUGUAACCUGAGGGCAGAAGCCACCUUAUUCACCUGGGAAUAGAGCUCAGAGUUCCUGAAUCCCAUUUAGAUCUGCUCUAUGGAGUUGAUGUUCCCUAUGGGGAUAUUCCAGUCACAUGUUCAAAACAAAACAAAACAAAAAACUGUGAGUCUGUAGAUAAAUGAAAACAAUGGGGACUCUGUAUUAUUUAGUUUUCUAUUUUAGGCAUUUUAUCACUAAGAACUACUUUGCAUAAACAGGGUUGUAUCUAAAUGUCUUCCUAUGUGAAGUUCCCAUUUUUGAUUGGCUAUAAUAUUUCAACAUGUAAAAAUAGUGUUUUAAUGUAAAUGCAGUAUAAUUGGGUUUCCCAACCUUGCACUGUUGAUAUUCUAGGCUGGAUUAUUCUUUAGCAGGGGGCUGUCUUGUGUUUUGCAGGAUGUGGAGCAGCACCCCAACCUUUAUCAAACAGAUGCUUCUAGCAUUGCUUAAUUCAGUUGCGACAACCAAAAAAUGUUAGUGUCUCCUGGUGUGUGUGUGUGGCAAAAUUACCCCUAGUUGAGAAGAAUGAGAAUAUUCAUUUAGGGGUUGGAAAUCUUAAAGUUGUAAAAAUCAUCCAAAUUUCUCUUUAUCUUGCUUUCUGUUAAAUACUUUCCUGUGUUGUAAGGCUGCUCUGCUCUGAGACCACUGGCACCGUGAGCAGAUGGCAUGACUUGGCUGUCCCCUGCUCCUGCCUCCGUGCACCUGGGACCUGUGGGUGGCCUCGUUUGCAUGGAGGAAAAAGAUAAUAUCCCUAUUUAUUACAAAGACUCAGGCAUUUGAAGGACCCAACCAAUGGUGUGACAUGUGUGGGCACAUGAACUUCACCUUGGAUGCCCCAGAAGUUUCUAGAGCUGACUUCCUUUAACUAGAAGGAAUAUGACUGUGGUCUUAGAAGAAAGACAUUACCUGGAGGAAGUUGAAAGCCAGCAUGCAGAGAAGGAAGACUACGGAAGGGCUCAGGCAGCUACACAGCUCUGCAGAACAAAAUGUUCUUGUCCAGGCCAUGGGGCCACAGGCUGGGACAGAGGGGAGGUAAGGAAGCUGCUCUCAUUCAGUCAGACCAGGUGAUGACCUGCCCCAUAUAGAUUUGGGUCUGUGCCUGGCAUGGGGAAGAGGGGAGAGUAGAGCUUCCUGUCUGGAAAUGGCUGUGGCUCUGCUUCCUUUCUACAGCCCUUGGGUUUCAGUCGGGAAGCUCCAGUGCUGUUGACUGGAGCAGGAAGCCUCCUCGGCUGCCUGUGUUCCCAGUAGAGAUUUGACCUAGGGCUUGGGCUCUGCUCCAUGAUGGAAGCCCUGCAAACUGCAAGACCAAUAUUUACUGAACCAGGAGGCUGUUAUUCUCAUGCUUUUUAAAACAUUGAGGUCAAGUUCACAUAACAUAAAAGUAGCCAUGUAUAUUAUUCAGUGACAUUCAGGCCAUUCCAGGUGUGGUACAACCAUCACCUCUGUCUAGUUCCAACAUGUUUUUAUGUCCCCUCAAAAAUCCAGUACCCAGAAGCAUCACCCCAUUCACCUGUCUGUGAACCCUGGCAACCACCAGGGUUCUAUAUUCUGUCUCCAUGGAUAUUCCUAUAAAUGGAAUCCUACAGCUGGUGGGCUCUUGUGACUGGCUUCUUUCACUUAGCAUAAUCUCCUCAAGCUUCAGCCACAUUGUAGCAUGUGUCAGUGCUUCACUCCUUUUUAUGGAUGAGCAAUACCCCCCUGUGUGGCUGGAGCACGUUUUGUUUAUCCUGUCAUCUGCUGGUGGACAUCUGGGCCGCCUCCACCUUUGGCUAUGGAGAAUAGUGCUGCUGCGAACAUUCGUGUCUCCCAUGAGCCUGUGAAGAGUCUGGAACAUUCACUCAUAGAACCCUGAAAUUAGGCAACAGAUAUCUUUGGAGGAUCAUUAUUUCAGCCUAGCACAAGGAGUGACGCCUGGUGUGUUUGCAACCCAAUAAUACCAGCUACCAAUUGCUUGCUGUGCACCAAGCUCUGUGGAUUGAAUUCUCACAAAUCAUAGUGUUUUAGUUGACUGAACUUCAUUUGAAUAAGUGGAUUUCGGGGAAUAUGUCUGCUGAGAUACUAAACCUUGAUUGCACUGCAGUGCUGGGAUGGAACCGAGGGCCUCGUGCACAAUGGACAAGUGCUUGACCACGGAGCUCCACCUCAGUCCUUUACUGAGCCUUAGACUUUAUCUUCAUGUGCUCUCUAGACAACUCCUGUGUUAACAUUUGAGGCUUGUAUAGGCCAAGCAUCCCUAAUCUGGAAAUCAAAAGUGCUCCAAAAUCCAAAACUUUCUGAGCACUGACAUGCUGCCAUAGUGGAAGUUCAGUUCCUUGUGGCUACGGAACAGAGACCCUGUGUCGUUGCUGGCUGCUCCCCGCUCCGGGCGGCUGCCCACACUCCUUGUCACACAGUUCCUUCUGCCUUCCAGCCAGCGAUGGCACAUGGGCUCCUCGUUCUCAGAAGCUCUGACUUUUCUGUUGCUGACUUUAGAAGCCUUCAAGGGUGGUCCUGCCAAUCCCUGCCACAGCAGCAGCCGUGUUAGUGUGGUUGUAUGUACAGCCCGGGGCAGGAACUCUCACAGGCAGGCUUAGAAUUCUGCCUCCCGCAAGGCUUUUGACCUAAGUGUUAGACCAGGUCUUUUGCUGACCCUGACUUCAAAAUGUUUGAAUGCACAGUUGUGCAAGGAGUUCCCAUAUUGUGGCUGACAUUGAAGAAGAGUUGUUUAAGGUGCGACAUUCUGCAGAUCUAUGGGUACUGCCUACACUGCCUCGUGCUGUUGAUUACUGCAUUGAUGGCUUCAGAAGCUCUCCACGUGUUGAUCAAGACCUUGUUGAACCUUGACAGAGUGAUAAAUUGCAUGCUUGUUUCCCCUCAUGAUUUCGUGGCUCUUUUGAAAGACUACCCCCUUGAUGUGCCCAGGAAAAUUUCCUUUGAUGUGCUAAGUCUGGACAGUUGAGCUUUUAAGGAAUCUAAAGCAGAGAAAAUGAGUACCUGCCCAUCCUGAGGCAGGCUGGCCUCUGUGUUUUCUGCUUGUGGUGAACCUGGGCUGCAAAAAUGGUUUUUAUUCUCAGCCAUCUGGUUCCUCUCACCUGUCAAAUAGCCCAGCUCUCAGAUUCUGACACAAGAAUAAAUUGCCCCCUUGUUAUGUUAAGUAAAAGAAACUAAAGUGUGAAGGAAAACGCCUUUGAAAGAGAGGCCAAGGAAGGAGUUCCUAUUGCCAAGAUUGGUCAAAAGUGGCUGGAAAUCUCUCUCUUUCAAUGCAGCGGGUUUUGACUGGUAUAAAACAGCAUUUUCCAGCAUGUGUCUCUGGGAAACCAGUUUUAUCUGAUGAGUAAUGGGUGUGAGGAGGAAAAGAUUCUCCCGUCACACAGGUUCACCAUGCUACCUCCGUAUCAAUCUCCUGAGGUGAAAUACGAUUGGCUGUGAUCUACAAACCCAUGUAGGGGCUGAUGCUCCUCUGGUUUCCUGUGAAAGAAAUAUUUACAAGAUAAGGGAUCCAAGGAGCACACUUCAGGAAGGGCAGCGUUGAAGGAUAGCUAUGACUUUGAGAAAGUAGGCAUGGGCAGUUGGCGAAUCUGUGUCGCCAAUCCACAGAUGAACCCGUCUCCACAUUUGAGGAGGAACAGAGUCGGAUUGUAGAUGCACACUUGGUGUGUCUUAAAUAUUUCUCAGUAAAAUUAUUUCUUACACUCUUUAUUGACUAUUGAUAUCAUUCUCAGUUUGAGGGUCCCCAAAGUAACCUCAGAGCCUUCAGUAAUAAUUUUCUAUCUAGAGAAUGGUGAAGAGAAUGAAAUGAAUAUUUUGAUUAUGACAUGGG